UUGCAAAGAACGGGAGGUUCAGACAAUGGAUGCGAUUGGUGAGCGCUCUGGAUCAGGCGGCGACGUUAUUCCGAGGAUGCAUGGGAUCUGAUAUAAACCGGCUGUUUCAGCAGCAGUACUGAGAGAACUCUGCUGAGACUGACUUUAUUCCCUUUUUUUGGAGGCAAAGCUCGCGUCUGCACUGCAUCCCUUUGUGUUAUUGUUGACCCAGGCCCGCUCAUACUCCAGAGCAUCUCCGGGAAAGCCGAGAACAAUGCUCAUCUAUUCAUUAUAAUGAAGGUCAGCUGACUAGCUGCUCCUGGCCGUUCCAAAGAUGAGGCCGGGACUCAGGGGUAAUCGUACCUUUGAGGUUGCAGCCCCUAAGUCAUGGAGGGGGUUGCCUCUACAUGUUAGACAGGUUCCUUCACUGUCUUCCUUUAAAUCCUUUUUGAAGACUCAUCCUAUUUUCCCAACACACCAUGAGUUGUUUGUUCUUUUCAGUGAGUAGUGGCUAAAAUUGCUUUAUGUCUGUUUUUGCUUUGCUAUUUAGACUUAUUCUCUUAAUGUACAACACUUUGGUCAAUCAUUUGUUGUUUUUAAAUGUGUUUUAUAAAUAAAUUGGAUUGGACAUUGGA